rnacentral:rRNA from 1 species
UGGGGAAUAUUGCGCAAUGGGGGCAACCCUGACGCAGCCAUGCCGCGUGAAUGAAGAAGGCCUUCGGGUUGUAAAGUUCUUUCGGUAGCGAGGAAGGCAUUUAGUUUAAUAAACUAAGUGAUUGACGUUAACUACAGAAGAAGCACCGGCUAACUCCGUGCCAGCAGCCGCGGUAAUACGGAGGGUGCGAGCGUUAAUCGGAAUAACUGGGCGUAAAGGGCACGCAGGCGGUGACUUAAGUGAGGUGUGAAAGCCCCGGGCUUAACCUGGGAAUUGCAUUUCAUACUGGGUCGCUAGAGUACUUUAGGGAGGGGUAGAAUUCCACGUGUAGCGGUGAAAUGCGUAGAGAUGUGGAGGAAUACCGAAGGCGAAGGCAGCCCCUUGGGAAUGUACUGACGCUCAUGUGCGAAAGCGUGGGGAGCAAACAGGAUUAGAUACCCUGGUAGUCCACGCUGUAAACGAUGUCGAUUUGGGGGUUGAACUUUAAGUUUGGCGCCCGUAGCUAACGUGAUAAAUCGACCGCCUGGGGAGUACGGCCGCAAGGUUA